rnacentral:lncRNA from 1 species
AUGCAUCCUUCCGCUUCUCAAAUCACUCUUUUCAUCAAUCGCCAGUGCCCGCAAGAAGAACCUUCCGCCGGGACCCCUAUCGGUACCGUUGAUCGGAAACUUGGUAUGGCUGCGCAGGUCUCUUUCUGAGCUGGAAUUCAUCCUCCGCGAGCUCAAGAUCAAGUACGGCCCCUUCAUAACCAUCAGAAUUGGCCCUCGUAUCAGGUUAAUAUUUAUCGGCAGUCACUCCCUCGCUCACCGUGCUCUCGUCCAAAACGGCGCCGUCUUCUCCGAUCGUCCGAGAGCCGCGCCGACGAGUAAGAUCGUGUCGAGCAACCAGCGCACCAUCAGCUCCGCCGCCUAUGGCGCCACCUGGAGGAUCCUCCGCCGUAACUUAACGUAUGAGAUUUUACACCCCUCCCGUGUGAAGUCGUACUCCAUGUCCCGCGGAUGGGUGCUUGGUGGUCUUAUUCAGCGGCUUGUGGUGGCGCAGUCGUCGGAAUCGUUUGUGACCGUAAUCGAUCAUUUUCAUUUCGCUAUGUUCUCUCUGUUGGUGUUCAUGUGCUUUGGGGACAAGCUCCAUGAGAAUCAAAUUAAAGAAAUUGAAACCAUACAGCGGCGAUGGCUUUUGAAUUUUCGUACAUUUAAUGUGCUCAACUUCUUGCCUCGAUUAGGGAGAAUUUUGUUUCGUAAUCGCUGGAAUGAGCUGAUUCGACUACGCCAAGAACAGGAAAACGUGUAUAUCCCUCUGAUUAGAACUCGUCUCCAAGCCAAACAAAGGCCUAUCAAUCAAAGUGAAGAGCAAGAGGCCGAAGUGGUUGCUUAUGUAGACUCGCUGGCAGACCUAAAGCUACCGGAGGAAAACAGAAAGCUAGAUGAGAGGGAAAUGGUGAGUCUAUGCAGUGAAUUUCUUAAUGCAGGCACCGAUACCACAGCCACGGCUUUGCAGUGGAUCAUGGCUAACUUGGUUAAACACCCCGAGAUUCAAUCCAAGCUUUACGAUGAGAUAAUUGAAGUUGUGGGACUGCCUCCAGCAAUGGCAAUGUCUAGUAAUGAAGAGUCAAGCAUGCAGCAAAUGAUAAAGGAGGAAGAAUUACAGAAGAUGCCAUACUUGAAGGCAGUCGUGUUAGAAGCAUUGAGGCGCCACCCGCCAGGGCACUUCGUGUUGCCCCAUCGGGUCUCAGAGGAAGUUGAAUUGGAUGGUUUUGUGAUCCCGAAGAACGGGCUUGUGAAUUUCAUGGUGGCCGACAUGGGUUUGGAUCCAAAAGUGUGGGAGGAUCCGAUGGAAUUCAAUCCCGAAAGCUUCUUAGCAGAUGGUGGGGAGGCGUUUGAUGUAACGGGGAGUAGGGAGAUCAAGAUGAUGCCAUUCGGUGCAGGGAGGAGAAUAUGUCCCGGGUGGGCUCUGGCUCUGCUUCACUUGGAGUACUUUGUUGCCAAUCUGAUUUGGUACUUUAAAUGGACAGCCCUCGAUGGAGACGAUAUUGAUCUGUCAGAGAAGCAAGAGUUCACCACUGUCAUGAAGAAUCCAUUGCGAGCUCGAAUCUCUCCUAGAGUUCCAUAAGUUUAUAUCCGGUAAUUACAAUUACGACUUAUCGUUAAGUUUUAUUCGAAAGUUUAUGCAAUAUUCACUUCGUUCUCAUGUGUUGAAACUCUAUAUGCAUAAUUAUUCUAUAAAUGAAUCUACGUUAUCUCGUUUUUAUGGGCUCUUUCGGUGUUCUUUUUGGGUUGUCACUUUUGAACACGUCUAGAAAUAUAACCUCUUCCUUAAAAGGAAUAUGUGAUACUGGCAUGUUUCACACACUAACAAGAAUAAUAUUAUACUAUUGUAAUCGAAAAACAUUAGUUCAUCGGUUGAGCAGUUCAAGUUCAAACAAUAUCACAAGAAACUGUUGAGAAUAUCUGCAGGUUGAAUGAUCUACUCACUUGAGUAUUUUGUGCCGUGAUCAAUGUGCUAAAGCAUAAGAACGACCUGCCAGAGCUCCAUCUAAAGAAUUUUGACAUUUGUACAUUCUUAAAUUAUAUCAUUGUUGACAUUCUCUUUGUUUUUCAACAAAUGUUAGGACGGGAAAACUGUAUAUCUAUUUUUUUUAAAAGUUGUUGAAUGACAGAUUGCCACAUUUGUCGAAUGACAGUUUACCAUGUGGCAAACUAUCAAACUUGGUGUACACAAAGCAAGAUUGCCAUCUAAAUGUAUUCCUUCAGACAUUAGUGAUUGAUUGAUUUUAUUUUUAUCUAUAACUCCAAAGAAAUGACAAGAAAACUCCUUGAGAGGAUGUGUUUGCCCAGCAGAUCCCAUCGAGUAAGGGUGUGAUUGAUUGAUUUUAUUUUUUGUUUUUGAUAAUUUUACUCUUUCGAUCAGAUAUCAAAUGUGUGUCGCAUGACCAUUUAAAGUUUAAAUAGAGAUUUUCUGUUACACAAUUGAGAAUAUGGGUAUCACAAAUAGAAUAGUGAAGACAUGGCCGUUACACUUACUAAAUGUUCAUGACUCCUAGAGAAAUUAACACUUUAAUUUUGCAAGCUAUUGCAUCCUUUAAAUAUUGCCGACCGUUAAGUUCGAAUAUCAUUUUAUAUUAUAAUUAACAGAUGAGAUAUUCUAUAAACGUUAUUAUUUGUGGUGAAAUUUCAAUAGGUAUUUGAUUUUUCUGCUACUUGCUGACCAAAUUUUUGUAGAAAAAUCAUAUUAUUUUAUUUAACAACUGGAAUCCGAUCGAUAAGUUAAAUUUAUAUGUUUAUAUCAACGAGGUAAAAAGGUGAUAAUUUGUUUUUGCCUCCGAAGACAAGAAUGAGGAAAUGAAGGAGCUUUUGCUGUUAUUGAUCAAUUGACUAGACCUUGUGCUUAUUGAUGUUGAAAUUUCGUUAUUCUUGUCAAAGAAGUCUUCCGUCCGUUUGUGAAAAUCAUGAUAUCAUCUACAAAACUUUGUGAGACGCUCAAAUGCUACCUCCCGUAGAUUUGGCGGUGAGAAUGAAUAGUGCAAGCGAUAGGAUCAUCGUGUCUUGGGCAAAACCCGCCUGUUCUCCAUUAAUAAAAGUAGAGUAAAUCAGCAAUUACACACACCUCUUAAUUUUAUUAACCCCCCGUCCCGUGCUAUCAAAGUCUAACAUCUCUAAUACUCAGAUUAAUGGUUCAUUUGGCAAGACUUUUGAAGUCAAAAUAAGCUUUUGAGAUCCAAAAAUUACUUCUAAACCUAUUUUGCUAAUUUUAUAAAAGUGCUUCUUCUAACCAAAAGGGAUUUUAGAUAAGCUAGUCGAAUGUAACUUUUUCUAGAAUCAUUUAUGAAAGAGUCCGUUUGAUUGUAAAGAUGGAAUUGAAUUGAAAACGAAUUCCAGAUAAUUGAAUUGCCUAGAAGUUGUUUUCUUGAGAAUUGUAAUUUAUUGUGUUUGAUUGGUAUAAUUUUUCAAAUAAAAAAUGUUGAAGUAAAUGUGUUUUUUAGUGUUCGUUUGGCUUUACUUUACAUGAAAAUUAUCGAUUAAAGGAAUAGAUUUUACUGGUAUUGGGGAUGAAAUUUGUUUCCAUUGCCAACCAAAAAAAAAAAAUUCAAGAAAAUCAUCUAUCUUUUGGUGUUCGUUUGUCUUUAUUUUACAUGAAAAUUGUCAAUUAACAGAAAAUAUUUUUUUACAAUUAUUCUUAAAAUUUGUUUCCAUUGCACAAAAAAAUAAAAUAAAAAAAAUUGCUACUGUAAUCCGGGAAAAUCUUAAAAAAGAAGGAAAAUAUCUAUGUGACAUCGAAAUGUGGAAAUUGAAUUCCAAGAAAAAUUUUGCCAAUCAAACACCAAAAAAAAGAAAAAGAUGGAAUUGCAAUUCCAUUUUCCAUGAAAUUUCCUACCUAUCAAACACACCCUAAGAAGAAUUUUCAAGAAUUUGUUUCCAAACAAAAAUUUAGGUAAUUUCAUUCCAAAGCAUUUUAACAAAAUGCAAAAGUUAUAUCAAAAUAGCCUUGAGAAUUCCUAGGAGACUUAUGAUAUCAAAAUUGUGUUUCCUCCUCUAGGAUUCCUGUCAAUCUGAUGAAAAAUUUCUUGAACAAUAAGAAUGUUGUCACCCGUACGUCUACCGGGUGGGAAACCACUUUGGUUAUGGGAGAUUAUUAGAGGCAGAUAUUUGUCAAGUAACAUUACAUAGACUAAUAGGCAUAAUCAGUCCAUUGUUGCUUAACCUUUCCAGAAUUAGUGCUAACGCAGUAGCUGUGAUACCUCUCGAGAUCAUCUUACCGCCAAAGAAGUCUUGUACUGCAUCCACUAGGUCCAGUUUAAUGAUUAACCAACAAAUAUAACAAACAAUUAUGCUUUGAGUACAGGGUAACCUCCACCGAGCACUCAAAGCAUGGGUUGGUAGGGUUUUUGGUAAUUUUUUAUGCAGGUGGGUCUGUAUGAGACCCACGUGCUGUGAGGGUCAGUAGGGGGUUUUGUGAACCUCUAUCCUAGUAAAAUAGCAUUAUUAUAUAACAAAAGGAGGUUUUGAAUCCACCCAUGCCACAUAUUUUGAUUUGAUAAUAUUUUGAUUCCGUAUAAAUAAACACUAGACAUUUAAGGCAUGCACUAUCUAAGAUUUUAAUAAAAAUCAUUAUUUGUUAGUGAUUACCGAAUAACCUCCAUUGAUGAUUUUCAACGAAAAUGUGUUCUUGGUGUUGUUGGCAAUCUCUGACAGUUCUUUUGUAUGACAAGCGAAAUUUUUUCUUUUUAUACUUUUUAUUUUAUAAACUGUCGAUGAUUAAGUUCAAAUAUCAAUUAUAUUAUAAUAUUACUAGGGAAUAAGAUAUUCUUUAAAUUUAUUAUUCAUGAUGGAAUUUCCAUUAGUAUUUGAUUUUUUUACUACUUUAUUUGUUGACCAAUUUUUUUGGGAAAUUUAACUUUACAAACUAUUUAUAUUUUUAGUAUUACUAACUAAAAAUUUGUUAGAUUCUUAAAACUUUGUUAAAUUACCGACAUAAUUUUAUUGAAAUAAUUUUAAAUUUUGUUAUUCGUAUUACUUAAUUUAACAACAGAAGCACUAUUGAUAAGUUGAAUUUAUUUAGAAACUUUUUUUCGAAAAAAAAAAUCACUGAAAUAAAUACCAUUUCCAUUUGAUUUGAAAAAAAGAAAAAAAGAAAAAAAAUGAAUUAUGUUGAUUAAAAUUGCAGCAAAGAAAGCAGACGAGUUUGAGGUAUUCCUAUACAAUGUCGAGAAUCCUUCUACUCCUAAUGUGCCCAUAUCUAUAUACUAGCAAAAAGAGUGGGAUAAUGACUCGAUUCUAUGCCAAGGUUAUGAGAAGAUUUGUAAAAGGUCUAUAGUGGACUAGGCGAGAUCAAACAUUCCAUUCUAGAGCAAUCGUUUCGAAAACAUGGAGCGAGGCAAAACCAAGAUCCAAACACGGCUUAACCUCUUGGAUUUCUUAUUUAUUUAUUUGAUAUGCAUACUUUUGUUAGUACUAGUCAACGUUGGAUGUGCACGUUAUUAUGAAAUACUUUAUAAAUGCUGUAAAAGUAAUAUUUGAAUAUGUGUGAAUGUCAAUUAAUUUAGAAUUUAUACUAAGGAAUAUAUCUAUGACAAUGAUUGUUAAAUUAUUUAUUUAAUUUUCAUUAAGUAAAAUAUAAUGGUAAUUAACAUAUAUAGACGUGAAUAAUAAAAUGCACUCUUAAAUGUAAAAUUCUAAUAACUUAUAAUUAGAUUAAAUAACAAUGAAAUACAUAAAUGAAGAUGAAUAUUAAUUAAAUGAAUGUGAAUGUUAAUUAAUUUAGAAUUAAUAAUAGAGAAUUCAUACAUUAAUGAAAGCAUAUAGGUGAAAUGAAUCUAUCAAAUGCACAUGUAUAUUGAUGGUAACUAAAUGGUAAAAAAUAAAUUAAAUGCAAAUCGAAAAAUGAAAAGCAAGGUAAUAUCAAAAUAAUGGAAUUAUAGUAGCGCUAAAAUAGUUCAAAAAUUGAUUCUUACUUGAUGUGAUAUUUAAUUUCAAUUAAGUAAAAAUUGAUAUUAAUUAGCAUACAUGGACGUGGAUAAUGAAAUGAAUUCUUGAAUGUGAAAUUCUAAUUAACUUAUAAUUAAAAAUAAAAACACUGAAAUACAUAAAUGAAAACGAAUAAUAAUUUAAUGAAUGUGAAAGUUAAUUAUUGAGAAUUAAUAAUAAGGAAUUCAAACAUUAAUGAAAGUACAAACGCGGGUGAAAUAAAUCUGUCAAAUAUACAUUUACAUUGAUGAUAACUAAAUGAUUAAAUAAAUUAAAUAUAUAUUGAAAAAUUUAAAGUAAGAUAUUAUUAGAAUAAUUGAAUUAUAGUAGUGUUAGAAUCAUCCAAAAAAUGAUUCUAACUUGAUAUGAUAUUUAGUAUAAAAUAGAUUAUUUAUUGACAACAUUUGAUUGAUAAAUUAAAUCUAUUAGACUAUUUAUGCUUUUAAUAUUUCUAAUUGGAAAGUUAAUGGAACAAAUAAUCAUUGAUGGGAAAUUUAUCUUUGAAAAGAGUUAUGAAUGACGAUAUUGAUGCAUAUUUGUCAUCAAUUAUCAAAAGUAAUAUUGUACACCUGUUGACAGCAUUUCGAUUACAGUCGUGUACACGAAAUCGUUGGGUAUUGACAAAGCUUUGUAUUUUAUUUUUUACAAGUUACCAACAAAUAGAUUGAAAUAUCAUUUUAUUUUUUCUUAGUGUAUUAUUUAUUGGUCACAAAUUACUCAUUUUGUUGAUCACUAUUAUUCAAAUAAUUGGUCACAAUAGCUUUUAAUCUACCCUACCACCACGUAGAUCUAUACAUCCAUUAUACCACUACACUCAGAUAUGACACCGCAACCCACCACUACAUGGUCACUAGCACACCACAACAUCAACCGCACCACGAUGACACUGUACAACCCAUCUCCAUUAAGUAUCAUUGUUGCUACGACGACUAGAUUCUCCCUCGUUAUCCUAAUGGCAAGCUCUGUUACCACGGUGGUGAAACUCGUGUCCUUUUCGAGAAACUCGCUAACAUUAAUGCUGCAAUUUCUAUUUCUGAAGAGAGAUGGGUUUCUAUGAAAAGAAAGAUAGAGAAGCGGAAGAAGAUAUUUACAGGGGAUUGGUAGGGUGUUGUGUUCGAGUACAAAUGAGCGUGUAUAACAUGUUUUUAAUCCCAUUUUUGGCUCCAUUUUAAUGAGGUUUUGGAGAAAUGUAUUUUAGAAUAGUAAUAUUUUGAAGAGUGUAUGGUUAAAAAUCAAAGAAAAUUUUUGGUUUACAUGCAAUAUUAUUUUAUUGACAAAUGUGUUGUUGAAAAUAAAGAAAGAGGAGAAUGCAUUAAAUUAAAAUUGAGCCGAAACAAGGGCUAAAUUAAAAAAGUCAUAACUUGAUUUUUGAAUCAAACAAUUAGUAUCUGAUUUUUGAAAGUGAAAAUUAAAAUGUAAGGUUUAAUAUAAUUUUCUCAUUAUUAAAUGAGAAUAUUAUCUUUUGAUGUUUGAGAAAAAAAAAAUCAAUUGCACUUUAAGUAAUAAACUUACUGGCUGAAGAAUAGAUUAAGACCUUGUUUGAGCCCAAUUAUUCUAAAAAAUCAUUUUUUCAAAACUCAUUUUCAACCACUCAUUAUUCAAUAAAAUAAUAUUACAUAUAAAUCCAAAAUCUUUUCUUAAUUUUUAGCCAAAUAUUCUCUAUCCAUCUAUUAUUCAAAAUGCAUUCUUUCUUCCAAAAUGGGGCUCAAACAAGGGCUAAAUAGUUAAACAAUGAUUAUACUUACAAAAUACCGAGCUUUAUUUUUAAAAAAAUCGCGAUUAAUAACAUACACAAUUUUAUUCCCAAUAAAUUCAAAAUAAACACUCAAUAGUUUAAUGAUUUAAAUUUUCCCUAUUUAAAUUUUGAAUAAAAAUUCAAAUAUGAUUUACCAAUAGAAGAAUGAUAAAAAGAAACAAUCAAAUCUUUAAUGAUAGAUUUUUGCCAUAUGUAACACCUCCAAUAUACUUUGAGUAAAAUAUUGUCAAAAUAAUAACCACCCAUCCCUUACUGUUUGUUAUUUGGAGGGAUUUUGUGAACCCCUCCCUGUAUUUGGAGUCUCUCUCUUAAUGAUAUUGUCUUAUAUGAACGACCAGAUCCAUGUCAAUGAUGAUUCUUUCACAGUUAUUUUAAAAUAUCACUAGGUGAAGAAAAAUUAAAGUGGAAAUUAAUUAAUUUAUUUUUUUUUAAAAAAAAGCAUGUUUCCAAUAAUAAAUAUUUGAAAUUUUGUUAAAACAUUGAAUUUGCCAACGCAAUAGAUCUUAGACUCUACAAAGACAUGCUUAGUGGGUUGGAUGUAGAACUCGUUUCAUGCCAUUAAAAUUAGAUUUUUAGUAGAUUUUGAUAAAAGUUGAUAAAAUAUGUAGAAAAAUUGAUAGACUCAUAAAACAUAUGGUUAAGAUUAAUUGUAAACUUUAUCUUAGAUUAAAAUUUGAAUUUUAAUAUCUACCAAAUAGGGUCUUAGUGUCUGACCAAAUCUAGCACUCAUCAAUUGGGUUGAAACAAUGAGUAUGUAAAAAAAAUAGUUUGAAAUAAUAGUUGUCAAAUAUGGGCUAAAUAUUUUUAUCUCUCGUCUGAGAGAUUACUUUAGGGUUUAAGCCAUUUUUCUCUCUAGUGGUUUUUUUUUUUUUUUUGGUGUUUCGUCUUCUUUCUGAAUUUUUCCUUUCUGUUUAAGGUCGAUGUAAAUAGAUAGUAUGGGAGUUUAUAUACUGUUCUUGGUGAACAGUAGCCUCUGAUUACAUGUAAAUUGAGAGAGAAAUCUGUAUCAGAGAGCUUCUUGAUUUUGAAACUUGGUGUAUUAUGUUGUAAUAUCGAACAUUUUGGUUAUGCUAGUGGAUUUAGAGCAUUAAAUACAUUUGUGGAUGAUCAAUGUGCUGAGUAGACCUUUAGGCUGGACAUUUGAGCCUUUGUGAUGAAAAAUCUUGGUGUUUUUGUUUUACUUUGUUAUAUUUUAUGUUUUCGGUCAUUUAUGGGACCAAUAAUGGUAUCUAAGCCUUUGAUCUGAAGUAGAACUCCUUCGAACCUUCUUUACUUGACUUUCUAUGGUUUUAAAACUGUAGAUUUGUAUAGAUUUAAAAAUUUCAAGGGUGAAAUCUGGUUUUCUUGGAGAUUCACAAUGGGCUCUCUUAAUAUUUUAUUUUUAUCUUGCAUAUUAACUUCCGAUAACAUACUCUAACCCUACUUUUAAUUUUUUUUUUUUUGGUUCAAUCACUAUAUUCUUGGAUCUCUUGACAUUAACUGUCUUAGAGCUUCUUUUGUACAGAUUUUUAUGCGAGAACCUUAGAAUUUGAAAAGACUACAACCAAGUUUUAUCAAUCAUUUAAUCUUUGCAAUUUGUAGUUAAACUGUCCAUUAAAUUGAUAUGUUAAUGUUUGUAUAAUUGUGAGGGUAUACCGUAUGUUAAAAUUGUAAGUUUUGUGAAUGUUGGAUUUUGAUACUCAAUAAUCCGGACGAUGAUUUUAAACCGAUGUUGGAUAAAAAUAAAUAUUGAUACCCAAGAUUGAUGACCCGACCCUAAGACUAUUUUGGCCAUUGGAAGCAACCUAAUUACUUAGUGUUGCUCAUGACCCGGUUUCACACUCAUUGGAUGGCUAAUAUAUGUUGGCCCACUCACUAUUUUUGUAUUGGGCUUAACCCCAUCACUUAACCUAACCUAUCCUAUGUAAGCUAGCCUUCUUGGUCUUCUAUUAUUAACGUGUAUUUUUGAGAGAAAAGUUCCUGCCUCUUGCUUGGCCAGUUUCUUCUUAUUCUUUUCUAGCCUUUGUGGCUAAAAAUACCCUCCCUUUUUGUCCUAAGUGGGUACAUAUCUUGAGCAACCGGAGUGUGGAAGAAGUUUAAGGUUUUGGAUCGUGAUUGCUUGGAUGUAUUGAUAAGGUUGAGUUGGUAUCUUGAGCCCAAAAUUUCACCAAUUGGAGGUCGAUUAUUCAACAUUUGGUAUCAAAGCGAGGUUGGGAUGGAAUUUCUGAUCAAAAUCUAACCAGAAUCGAAGCAGAAAUCAGCUAGAUUAAAUUGUCUAGAAUUUUUCACAAAAAAUCGGACUUGCAACCUCAAUUUUCGGCCAAUCCAGAUGUCUUUUGGUGAAACGGAGGCCAGAAUCAUGAUUUGUAGGUGGAGGUGGUGCUGGGUGGCCGGCGCAUCUAGGUGACGACUGUCGACGGCAAAGGCGCGUGGAGAUUUCGACGAUCGCACGUUGGGGCGCGUGUGGGUUCCUUUGGCGAUGACUUCUUCAGGUAGAAUUUUUCUAACUUGUUUUCUAACGAUUUUGUGUUGUUAGUUUUCAGUUUCGGGAUACACAGAAAAAGUUGGAUGAUUUCGCCCCUGGACACUCGGCUAUUGGUUGCUAGACAUUCGUGUUGGCACACCCGCUGAACUUUAGGGCGAAUAAUAGUGGCCCUAAAGCAGUUGAUUCGUAUCUCUCGUAAUUUACGUACUCAGAUAGGUCCGCUCUGGUAAAUUGGCUGAAACAUUCACAUUAUCACAUUAGCUAAUCAUCAUGUGGGACGAUCAUUAGAAUUGGGGGUUGUCAUUGCUUGUGUUAGAAAAUUUAGGAAUUAUCUGCCCUAUUUGAAGUGUUGAAGUUGACUGUAGUUGGUAAUUGAUUUUGAGCUCUAAUUGUCAUAUAGUCACUGUGUGAGACUGCAUUGCGUGAUAAUUAGAAUUUUUUUUAAUAAACAUGUUGCAUUGAUUAUCCUGUUAGAAUAUCUGGACUUAACUCGUUUGAAACUUUUCUUGAUCUAAGAUCGCGAAUCUUACGAAACCUUGGGAACUAGAACAAUGUAUAUCUGUGUGACCUAUCUGUGUAUUUAGUUGUUCUGUUUUUCCAAAAAUGUCUUCACAUUUUGAAGUCGGUGUUUUUAAAGGGUCAAGGAAAAUUUUCAAUUUGACAACAAAAGAUGAAGGAAAUUUUAGUUUAACAAAAAGUUUCAAAAGUCGUAGAUGGCAAAUUUCCUGCAAAUUUGACUGAAACACAAAAAGAGGAAUACGAUGAACUUGCUUACACUUCGAUUAUCUUACAUUUAUUUGACACAGUUUUGAGAAAAGUUGGGGAAUUGGAUUCUACAUAAGAACUUAGGAAAAAAUUGGAGGACUUAUAUUUACUUAAGUCCACUCCUUAUAAAUUAUACUUACUUGAAAGAUUUUUCAAUUUUAAAAUGGAUCCUUCAAAGGAUCUUGAUGACAAUCUAGGUACUUUUAACAAACUUGUUCAAAACAUUAUUAACUGUGAUGAAAAGGUGCCUAAAACUAAUAAACCAAUUAUCUUACUUAAUUCUAUGCCUGAUUCAUUUAGAGAGAUUAAGAAUGCAAUUAAGUAUGGUAGGGACACCAUAACAUCCGAGAUUGUCAUAGACUCACUUAGAAGUAAGGAAAUGAAAAUUAAGAUUGAAAAUGAAGAUAAGAGGAGUGGAGAGUUACACAUGAUAAGGAGUAUGAUAAAAUUUAAGCAAAUGAAUUUGGGUAGAGCUCAAAAUAGUGUUGAUUCAAGUAGUGAAUCGAGUGACGAAGAUAGUAAGAAGAAGGGCAGGGGACGAGACAAGUCUAGUGGUAAACAGUGUUACAACUGUAGUAAGUCUGGACACUUUAUUAGAGACUAUACCAAGAAGAAAGAUAAACAGAAGGGUAAUGUAAGAGGUGAGAUGAAUGUGUUGAGGGGUCGAGUUAUAACCCUAAUGAGGUUUAUUGAGAGCAAACCUAGUUACUGUAUGUGCAUCUAUGUGUGAUCCUUUUUUGCAUAUGUGUGAUUGCUUAAUUCUAUUGCAUGAUUAUACGUUGCAUUUCAAUUUGUUUGAUAUGUGUAUUUGCAUGAAGUUGAGGUAAUAUGAUUAAUUGAUGUGAUUGUGUGCAUGCAUAGUAGGUUAUGAUGCAUUAGUAGUAAGUUAGAUGUAUUUUGGUAAGGUAGAGUAAAGAUGCCUAGGGGUACAUUGUGGUUUGUACCAGGGAUGUGGAGUGUGACAUUUGGAUCACGAGUGGAAAUGUGACCAAAUGUCUAGAAUCCUUUAUUUGUGAAAAAGACCCUGUACAAGUGGAGUGUGCGAGAAGCACUUCUGUUACUUCGGUAAGGUCGAGACCCAUUAUUCACGUAGGUUGGGAAAAGUAACGUGGUGACAGAAGAUUAUCCCAAGAGUUUAGGAUCUAUUGUGACUUGCCAGUUAGACAUGAGUUGAGUGAUUAUCUAAUCAGCAUGGUGGGUGAUGAGAAGAGAUAUGUAUUUUCGAGGUGAGAGUAACACGAAAUGGAAUAAGAUAAGUGUGGUGAGAUUUUUCGUGGGGUCAUUUAUGUAUUUGUUGCAUAUGCGUUUGACCGUGUGUUAAUUAACUUAGUGUUAAUUUAUGGUUCUGUGUGAACACAAUUUUGAAAAGAUCUGUGUAUUAUCCUAGAUAAUAUUUUCAUCGCAUGAUUAUUUGUUCAUUGUGAAUACUUGUUCUUACUUGGGUGUUUCUUUGGACUUUAAUCUUGGUGAGUACAUGGAGUAAGUAUUAUAUGUAUUUCAGGUUCGAAACACGAGGAAAGGUCUGUAAUACCAAUUUUAUUGGAUUACCUUGAUUGUGCAAGUAUAAACUUUGUGUUUUGUUUGCUUCCAGAUUAUUGGGCAUCAAGGUAAAGAUUGUUGGAUUUUGAUACCCAGGAAUUCGAGCGAUGAUGUUAAACCGAUGUUGGAUUAAAAAUAAAUAUCGACACCUAAAAUUGAUGACCCGACUCUAAGACUAUUUUGGCCAUUGGAAGCAACCUAAUUAAUUAGUGUUGCUCAUGGCCCGAUUUCACACUCAUUGGAUUGCUUAUAUAUGUUGGCCCACUCAUCGUUUUUAUAUUGGGCUUGACCCCAUCAUUUAACCUAAUCUAACCUAUAUAUGCUAGCCUUCUUGGUCUUCUAUUAUUAACAUGUGUGUUUGAGAGAAAAGUUCCCAGCUCUUGCUUUGUGCUCUUGCUUGGCCGGUUUCUUCUUGUUCUUCUCUAGCCUUUGUGGUAUCGCCUUUGUGGCUAAAAAUACCAUCCCUUUGUGUCCUAAGUGAGUAAAAAUCUUGAGCAACUGGAGUGUUGAAGAAGUUUAAGGUUUUGGGUCGUGAUUAUUUGUGUAUUGAUAAGGUUGAAAUUGAUAUCUUGAGCCUGAAAUUUCACAAAUUGGAGGUUGAUUAUUCAACGGUAAAUAUUUUGAAGUUUAACCCUUUCUUUAAAAUUUAUUUAACACAAGUUGAGUGAUUACAUAUCUCGUAAAGGUGUCCCCCUUUAAACCAUUGAAACUCUUUCUUUGUGAAAAAAUUGGUUUUCAAGAAACUAUCCAUUCUGAAAGGUUUUAAAAAGAGAAGAAAAUUAGUUUUUUCUUUGGUUUUUCCAUAUAUUGCAAACAUUUUUGGAGCCAACAUUUUUUUUUCCAAAAGAAAAAUGGGAAGCACCAAGUUAGAUGUUAAGAUUUAGAAUAGCAAAAAGGAUUUUAGUCUCUGAAGUCAGAAAAUGAGAGCUCUAUUUUAGAAAAAUAUGUGUUGAAGUCUUGGAUGAAUCUUGGAUCGAUGAUUUUGAUUCAACCAAGAAUAUUGAUCAUAUUGAAAUUUCAUGGAGUAAUUUGUUUUUGCAUUAUCUUAUAGAGUGACAAGAGAAGUUUAUAUAUACAACAAAAACUGUAGCACAAUAAUGGAAAAAAUCAAAAUAUCUUCAUCAAACUAAAAUACUACGAAAUAAAUGUUAUUUGUGGAAGUAUGGAGGAUUUUUUCAUAGAUAGCUGUCUGCAAAAAUCAAGUACUUAUAGCAAGUUUCUUUUUGGAAAUAGUUUUUAAGGCUCUGUAUGAGUCACAUUUUUUCAAAAAAAUAUAUUCUUUAACAGUGAUUUGACAUCAUUUCAACCACACAUUCUUCAAUAAAAUAAUAUUACACGUAAAUUCAAAAUUUUUCCUUAUUUCUUAACUACACAUUUUUCAUCAAUACACUAUUCAAAAAUGCAUUUUCAUUCCAGUAAUGUAGCUCAAACAAAGGCUAAGUUUCAAAUCUGAUUCCAAUAUAGAUCUUGAAGCAAACUUGGACAGAUUUAAUAAGCUAUCCUUGAAUCUAACUAAUGGUUGUGAAACUAAAUCUAGUGAUCAACAAUCUGAGUUUCAUAUAGUGCUUUUGUCUGAAAAAUACAAAGAUACGAAAAAUGCUUUAAAAUAUGCGAAAAAAAGUAUAACUGUUGAUAUAAUUGUGUUUUCAUUGAGAAAUAAAGAUUGUAAGUUAAAAAAUGAAAUCAAAGAUUCCUCAACUAGAAUUAGUUCAAUAGUUAAAGCAAAGAAUUUUCAAAAGGAAACAAUAAUAAUAAAUUCGAUAAAGAAAACACCGGCGAAGGCAAAUAUUUUUUUAUUAUUUUUUCUUUUGAAAAAAAAAAUUGUAUUAGUGAAAAAAUAAAUAGAAAAAAAAAAUUAAGGCUAAAGGUAAAAGUUGUCAUUUUUGUGAAAACUUAGGAUUCUUUAUAAAAUAUUGUUACAAGAAGAUAGAUGAAAUGAAAAACACUCAAAAGACUAAGGAUGUAGUUGCAAUAGCUUAUGAAGAGGCUGCAACUACAAAUGAAAAAGUCUAUAUGGCUAGCCAUUUAAUAGUUAAAGAUGAGUGAAUUCUUGAUAUAGGGCAUGCACUUCGUAUGUCUUUUUAUAAAGAAUGUUUUCCUGAAUUUUUGAAAAUUAAUGGCGGUCGAUUAACUAUGAAAAUUUAUUUUUCUUGCAAAAUAAAAGGAAUUGAAAAAAUGGUUUUAAAUUUUGGAAAUGAUCAUACUCUAAUUCUUGAAAAAAUCGAAUAUAUACCAGAUUUAAGGAGAAAUAUAAUUUCUCUGGAAAUUUUUAAUGAUGAAUGUUACAAAAUAAUCAUAAAAAUUUGAAUUAUUACUAUUCUUAAUAAUUUUGCUAAAAUAAUUAAUACACCAAAGACCAAUGUAAUUUAUGUUUUAAGGGCUGUACUCUUGGUGGGUGAUCCACUUGUUGCUGUAGUAUCUUAAAAUGGCAUAAAAGAUUUGGCCGUAUAAGUGAUGUAAUUUGCAAUAUUAGAAAAAAUAGAGAAUAUACAUACAUACAUACAUACAUAUAUAUAUAUAUAUAUAUAUAUAUAUAUAUAUAUAUAUAUAUAUAUAUAUAUAUAUAUAUAUAUAUAUAUAUAUAUAUAUAUAUAUAUAUAUAUAUAUAUAUAUAUAUAUAUAUAUAUAUAUAUAUAUAUAUAUAUAUAUAUAUAUAUAUAUAUAUAUAUAUAUAUAUAUAUAUAUAUAUAUAUAUAUAUAUAUAUAUAUAUAUAUAUAUAUAUAUAUAUAUAUAUAUAUAUAUAUAUAUAUAUAUAUAUAUAUAUAUAUAUAUAUAUAUAUAUAUAUAUAUAUAUAUAUAUAUAUAUAUAUAUAUAUAUAUAUAUAUAUAUAUAUAUAUAUAUAUAUAUAUAUAUAUAUAUAUAUAUAUAUAUAUAUAUAUAUAUAUAUAUAUAUAUAUAUAUAUAUAUAUAUAUAUAUAUAUAUAUAUAUAUAUAUAUAUAUAUAUAUAUAUAUAUAUAUAUAUAUGUAUGUAUGUAUGUAUGUAUGUAUGUAUGUAUGUAUGUAUGUAUGUAUGUAUUUAUGUAUGAAAAUAUCAUUUUUGUGAAUAAUGCAUUUUGGAAAAAUAAAAAACAACUGUCUUUCUCUAUCGGAAUUCAUAAAUUCGUGUUGUCAGUGGAUUACUUGCAUGUUGAUAUGUGGGGACCAACUAUUGUUUGCAUAUAUCCAGGUUUUAAAUAUUUCUUCAUAAUAAUUGACGAUAUCUCUAGAAAGAAUUGGGUUAUCUUACUAAAGAAUUAGUUCGAUGCUUGAAUUUUAAAAAUUGGAGACCUCCCAUUCAAAAUCAGGUUAAUAAGAACUUAAAGACUCUUAUAAUAACAUUGGAUUCUGCAAUGAAGAAUUUGAUAAUUUCUAAAAAAAAAAAAAAUGGAGAGAGAGAGAUUCUUAAGCACAAAACUGUUACAUAUACUCAACAAAAUUCUUUAGCAAAAUAAAUAAAUAAACAAACAGGACUUUAUUAGAAAAUGUUAGAUGUUUGUUAGUCAAUUCAUGGUUCAAAGUUAUUUUGGAGACAGAAGUUGUUAAGACUGCAACAUACUUAAUUAAUAAUUGCUCUACUAAAUCACCGGAGUACAGAAAACUUGGAUCAAAUAUGCAAUGAUCAUCUUGUUGAUCAAAUAUUUAAUGUAUUGUUUAUGCACAUUAGAAUGAACGAUUAUUAGAAUUAAAAGUUAUUAAAGGCACAUUCUUUUUUUUUUUUUUUUUGAUAUUCAGGUAUUCACCUUACAGUGACUAAAUCCUGGAGUCUACACCUUGGCCCCUCAAGCUGCAGACAGGUUAAAUCACAGAUUGUGCCACAAACUAACCAGUGCUCAAGAGCCCCCCAACUGAUCUGCUAAAGUGCCAAACAAGUCGUUUCUCAUCUUUGCACUCUGCCUUCCAGUAGAGUUCCUGCCUUCCAGGAUAAAUCCUGCCUUCCAGGAGAAUAUCUGCCUUUCAAGAGUCUUCUAGGAAUCGAACUCACGACCUCUGAUGUGCCAGCCUUGAAGCGCCCUCAUCUUUGCCAGUUGGAAUGUGCCCUGAGGGGCUAUUAAAGGCACAUUCUUGGACUAUGGGAAAGGGGUAAAGGGCUACAGACCGUAGCUUAAAAAUAAGAAAGACUAUAGAGUCAUAAUAAGCAUAAAUGUAACUUUUAAUGAGAGUGAGAUGCCUUGUUUAAACUUUCAAGGAGGAAAUUCUAUAAGUAAGCAAUGAUGGUCCGGUUAAAAAUUGAGAUAGUUGAUCUCAUUUCUUUAGAUUUAAAUCAAACAAAUGAUGAUCAAAUUAAGGAAGAACAAAUUUAAAUAGAAGAAAAUGCCCUGAAAUUGAACACUAAGAAUCUUGAGUCUGAAUUGGCUUGGGAUAAAGCCAAGAGAGGAACAAGAACAUUAACUAGAUUUGGUGAAGCGAAUUUGACUUCUACAUAUAAUGUAUAGAACUUUCUUGAAUCUAAGCCUAAUUAAUUUGAAGAGGUCGUAAGCGGAGAAGAUGUAAAUUUCUGGCUCGCAACUAUGAAGAAUGAAAUGCAUUUCUUAUUAAAAAAAUAAAAUCUGGACCUUAGUCAAUAAACCAAAUGGAACAAAAAUGUUCGGUUGUAUGUGGAUUUUUAAAAGGGAAAAUUACCUAGAAACCAACAUUUAAAGAUUAAUUUUCAGAAAACAAGGGAUUAAGAUUCAUUUUCACAAAUCAGGUGCUAAUUAAAUUUUACAAAUUAAAACUUAUAAAAAUAUAGUCACAACAUUAAAUAUACAUAUUCAUCCCACCUAAUCCAUACCCAACUACCCACACCAAAACCCUAAUAUUUUCAUCCAUUCCCAUUUUCUCUCCUCUCUCUAUCCCACCUUUCCUCUCUCUAGCCAACGCUGGGAAUCACUGUCUCCGCCACACCUCCAGUACCACCUCCCCCUUCACCACCAUAGCCAAAAUCACGACUAUCACCAUCCGAACACAACAAAAUUCUCUUGUUCCAUACGCCAUUUUCACUAAGAGAAAAAGGCAAGUAAAAGGGAAUUACUACUUCUAUACACACAGAUCAACUUUCUUCCAAUCUACGCAAAGUAUCAAUUUCUCAUGUUCCAUACGCCAUUUUCACAGAGAGAAAAGGUGAAGUAAAAGGGAAUUUAAUUAUUGUUUGUUAAUUAAUUAAAUAAAAUUGUCUAUCAAGAGUGAAAGGAAGUCACCGUCGAGAAUUGGGAAGAUCGGGCCCUACACUGUGUUUGUGACACCUCCGCCCACACCCAAUCUAAGUUUGAAAUCGAAUUCCCCCAAAACACCCGUUGACGUUCCAAUUCAGGUCUAGAGACCGGUUGAAAAAAGUUGUACAGUCUCCUUUUCCGAUUAUGGCUCCGCCAGUGUAGUACAACAUCUUCCUCCGAUUAUGGUUAUCGUGGUUCUAAUCUGUGGGUAGAGUAAGAAGGCUAAUGGUUGUUGGUUUUAAUCUAUGUUUCUGAUGGUGGAUUUGUUCUCCGUACAGCCAGCGAAGGUAGUAGGGGUUUCAUAGUAGACAAAGUAUUGGUGGUUCUAAUUUGUGUGUAGAGUAAGAAAGUUGUAGCCGGUGAUGGUUGGUGGUGUUAGAUUUGUUGGUGGUCAAGAUUUGUGUUUCUGAUGGUUGGUGGUGGUUCUGAUCUGCGUGCAUCCAGCGAUGGUUGAUGGUAGUGAUUCUGCAGCCGACGAACCGUUGGUGGUGGUGGUUUUGUUGGUAGUGAGAAUGCUCUGGUGUGUGUGGCAUGGUCAAAUCUGUGUGCUGGUGUGUAGAUCUGUGCGUGAUGCAAAUCGACAGUUAUGUUUAUCUAUCUUCAUUGUGAUUGCCUGUGACCAAAUUUGUGUUAACUACGAUCGUAUGUGACUUGGUUACAUAUAGUCACAAAUUAGACUAACAUGGUCACAGACAGUCACACCAAAUACAAAUUUGGUCAUGAACACAUAAGGUCACAGUUCAUACGUUACGGAUCACAAUUCGCCGUUAAGGUCACAGUUCAAUGGUCAUAGGUUCGAGUUCACAAGUCACAAAUCAGUAUAAACGGGUCACAGAUUAAUAUUAACAGGUCACAUGUCCUUUUGUAGAAGUCACAGAUCAAAUUUAUAGAUCACAUAUUGUGUUACGAGUCACAAAUAACAAAUCACGGGUUAAAAAUCAUAUUUUAUAUGUCACAAUGUACACAAAUUACAUAUUACCCAGCAAAAAAUUGUGAAUUUAAUAUAUUUAGUUACGAAAAUAUUUUUUUGAUUAAUUAUUUCAUAACUAAAAUUUUAAUAGUAUUUGAUUUUUGAAAUUUCAAACUUUAUUUUCUUAAUUUUGAAAUUGAUCAUAUGCAUAUUCAUUUAACCUUGAUUAGGUCACUGAUUCAAUAAAACUAGUCAAAGAUCACAACAGGUCACAGAUCCAAUGGAACUAGUCACAGGUUAUUGCCAAAAAAAAAAAAAGAUAGUCGCCGGAAAAGUGAGCAGUCAUCGGAACGGUCGUUGGGAGGUCGCCGGAAUAGUCGCCGGAGAGGUUACUGAAAUCUUCGUCGGAGUCAUCGUUGGAGGUGGGUGGGGUGAAGAGAGAGAGAAUGAUUUGAUGUGGUGGGUGUGUGGUUGGAGGUAAAGUGAAUGGGGUAAAUAGAUUGAUUAUAUUGUAUUAUAAUUAAAUAUUUAAUAAAUUUAAUUAUCGCCUGAUUUUUGAAAUUUUUUUAAAAGUUUGUUAAUUUUGAAAUGUAAAUUUUAGAUGGAGGGUUUACUUUGUGUUCCCUUUUUAAAAUCAAAUAGGGUGAAUUCAAAAGCAAUAGUCUAGGGUAUAACCCGGUUGGUUGCUUAGGGUUCACUCGGGUUGAGACUAUAAUAAAACAUAAAAAGAAGGUGAGCCCUCCUACUUUGUGAGUGUUGGUCAAGUUAUUUAUCAAUCAUUUUUCUGUCAUUGUAUCUUCCAUUUUAAAAUUACUUGUGGUAUAAGGCUAUAAGAAAACAUUAUCUACUUCAACAUCCAAACUGAUUUUCUUGUAGAGAUAUUAACAAAUGGAGUCCUUCUGGUUUAUCUUCAUAGUCUCCCUAUUAUGCAUCCAUCCGCUUCUCAAGUCGCUAUUUUCUUCAAUCGCCGGUGCCCGCAAGAAGAACCUUCCGCCAGGACCCAUUUCGGUACCGUUGAUCGGAAACUUGGUAUGGCUGCGCAGGUCUCUUUCUGAGCUGGAAUUCAUCCUCCGCGAGUUCAAGACCAAGUACGGCCCCUUCAUCACCAUCAGAAUUGGCCCUCGUAUCAGGUUAAUAUUUAUCGGCAGUCACUCCCUCGCUCACCGUGCUCUUGUCCAAAACGGUGCCGUCUUCUCCGACCGUCCAAGUGCCGCGCCGACGAGUAAGAUCGUGACGAGCAACCAGCGCACCAUCAGCUCCGCCGCCUAUGGCGCCACCUGGAGGAUCCUCCGCCGUAACUUAACGUAUGAGAUUUUACACCCCUCCCGUGUGAAGUCGUACUCCAUGUCCCGCGGAUGGGUGCUUGGUGGUCUUAUUCAGCGGCUUGUGGUGGCGCAGUCGUCGGAAUCGUUUGUGACCGUAAUCGAUCAUUUUCAUUUCGCUAUGUUCUGUCUGUUGGUGUUCAUGUGCUUUGGGGACAAGCUCCACGAGAAUCAAAUUAAAGAAAUUGAAACCAUACAGCGGCGAUUGCUUUUGAAUUUUCGUAGAUUCAAUGCGCUCAACUUCUGGCCUCGAUUAGGGAGAAUUUUGUUUCGUAAUCGCUGGAAUGAGCUGAUUCGACUACGCCAAGAACAGGAAAACGUGUAUAUCCCUCUGAUUAGAACUCGUCUCCAAGCCAAACAAACGCCUAUCAAUCAAAGUGAAGAGAAAGAGGCCGAAGUGGUUGCUUAUGUCGAUUCUCUGGCAGACUUAAAGCUACCGGAGGAAAACAGAAAGCUAGAUGAGAGGGAAAUGGUGAGUCUAUGCAGUGAAUUUCUUAGUGCAGGCACCGAUACCACAGCCACGGCUCUGCAGUGGAUCAUGGCUAACUUGGUUAAACACCCCGAGAUUCAAUCCAAGCUUUACGAUGAGAUAAUUGAAGUCGUGGGACUGCCUCCAGCAAUGGCAAUGUCUAGUAACAAAGAGUCAAGCAUGCAGCAAAUGGUAGAGGAGGAGGAUUUACAGAAGAUGCCAUACUUGAAGGCUGUCGUGUUAGAAGCAUUGAGGCGUCACCCGCCAGGGCACUUCGUGUUGCCCCAUCGGGUCACAGAGGAAGUUGAAUUGGAUGGUUAUGUGAUCCCGAAGAACGGGCUUGUGAAUUUCAUGGUGGCCGACAUGGGUUUGGAUCCAAAAGUGUGGGAGGAUCCGAUGGAAUUCAAUCCCGAAAGGUUCUUAGCAGAUGGUGGGGAGGCUUUUGAUGUAACGGGGAGUAGGGAGAUCAAGAUGAUGCCAUUUGGUGCAGGGAGGAGAAUAUGUCCCGGGUGGGCUCUGGCUCUGCUUCACUUGGAGUACUUUGUUGCCAAUCUGAUUUGGUACUUUAAAUGGACAGCCCUUGAUGGAGACGAUAUUGAUCUGUCCGAGAAGCAAGAGUUCACCACUGUCAUGAAGAAUCCAUUGCGAGCUCGAAUCUCUCCUAGAGUUCCAUAAGUUUAUACCCGGUAAUUACUAUUACGACUUAUCGUGAAGUUUUACUCUAAAGUUUAUGCAAUAUUCACUUCGAUCUCAUGUGUUGAAACUCUAUAUGCAUAUUUGUUCUAUAAAUGAAUCUACGAUUUCUCGUUUUUAUAGGCUCUUUCGAUGUUCUUUUUGGGUUGUCACUUUUGAACACUUCCAGAAAUAUAACCUCUUCCUCAAAAGGAAUAUGUGAUACCGGCAUGUUUCACAAUAAUAUCAUACUAUUGUCAUCGAAAAAUAUUAGUUCAUCGGUUGAGCAGAUCAAGUUCAAACAAAUCACAAGAAACUCUUGAGAAUAUCUGCAGCUCGAAUGAUCGACUCACUUUGAGUAUUUUCUGCUGUGAUCAAUGUGCUAAAGCAUAAGAAUGACCUGCCAGAGCUCCAUCUAAAGAACUUUGCCAUUUGAACAUUCUUAAAUUAUAUCAAUGUUGACAUUUCCUUUGUUACUCGACAAAUGCUAGGACGGAAAAACUUUUUUUUAAUUUGUGGAAUGACAGUUUGCCACAUUUAUCGAAUGAUAGUUUACCAUGUGGCAAACUGUCAACCUUUGUAUACAUCGAGCAUGAUUGCCAUCUAACGUAUUGCUUCAUACAUUAGUCAAUUUUUGGCUAUAACUCCAAGGAAAUGACAAGUAUUAUUUAAGCCACUAUUUCGUAUAAAUUAAAAUCAGAUUUUAGUAGAUUUUGAUAAAGGUUGUGAGUAGAUAAAAUUAAUCAUUGACUUUAAUUUGAGAUUUUAAUCCAAAUCAAACGGGGCUAAGAAUUUUUUGCCUUGAAAAGUAUUUCGGGUUUAAUGUUCACUUUGACAGCGUAACUAAUUCAGCAAAAUUCUCAAUCAUCUUUGUCUUGAAUUUGGGUUAUAAAUUCCUUUAGGGUUAGUAUUCAAGUUCCCUGGACUUUUAUUUUUUCUUUUUGAUAAUUUUACUCUUUCAGUCAGAUGUCGGGUGCGUGUCGCAUGACCAUUUAAAGUCUAAAUAGAGGUUUUCUGUUAUGUGGAAAUAGCACAUGCACAAUUGAGAAUAUGGGUACAACAAAUAGAAUAGUGAAGACAUGGCCGUUACACUUGCAUAAAGUUCACGACUCCUUAAGAAAUUAAUACUUUAAAAUUUUGCAAGCUAUUGCGUGCUUUAAAGUCAAACCUCUCUAAUACUUAGAUCAUGGGUUCAUUUGACAAACUUGGGAAGUUAAAAUGAGUUUUUGAGAUCUAAAAAUUGUUUCUAGAUCCGUUUGAUUAAUUUUAUGAAAGUGCUUCUUUUAGCUAAAAGGGUUGUUAGAGAAAGCCGGUCGAAUGUGACUUUAUCUAAAAGCGCUUUCGAAAUAGGAAGUAUUUUCAAAAAUUAGGAUAAUUUCCUUCAAAAACUCUUUAACAGAAAGCAAAAGUAAAAGCUAUAUCAAAUGAGUCCUAGGAAUUCCUAGGAGGCUAUAUCUAGUGAUAUCAAGUUUCAAAAUUGUGUUUAUUCCUCUAGAAUUCCUGUCAAUCUGAUGAACCAUUUCUUGAGCAAUAAGAAUGUUAGUUACCCACGCGUCUACCGGGUGGGAAACCACUUUGGUUAUGGGAGAUUAAUAGGGGCAGAGAUUUGUUACGUAACAUUACAUAGACUAAUAGGCAUAAUCAGUCCAUUGUUGCUUAACCUUUCCAGAAUUAGUACUAGUGCAAUAGUUGUGAUACCUCUCGGGAAGAUCUUACCACCAAAGAAGUCUUGUACUGCAUCCACUAGGUACGGGUUUAAUGAUUAACUAACAAACAUAACAAACAAUUAUGCUUGGAGUACAUGGUAGGUGUUGUAGGGAGGACUUGGGUUCACGGAAACCCUCCCAAGCACUCUAAUAGACCCUCAAUCCACACAACAUACCAAAGGCGCAAGCAAGGAUCAAGGGCAAUGGGCACAAUUGCAGACCAAUUGCAAAAUUACAACACCAAUUGCAGUAUAAAUAAGGGGAAUAAUCAUGUUAUCAACAUUCAGAAAUUGGGAGAUUCCUUAGGAGAGUGUGGGCCUCUUGAAUGUCCAUUAAUCUUGUUAUUUUUUUUCCAUUUUUUUGAAUAAAGAAUCUGCUUCCGGGAUCACAGGUUCGUUCCUCUUGUAAUCAUUGUUUGGUGGUUAAAUUCUCAUAAUAAAACUCCUGUUCUGGUUUGGAUCUAUCACACUCACAGCAUGGGGUGGGUGAGAUUUUUGGCAAUUUUUUAUGCAGGUGGGUCCGCGGUUGGUAAGGGUUCUAACCUGAUAAAACAGCAUUAUUGUAUAACAAAAGAAGGUUGUGAAUCCACCCUUGCCACAUAUUUUGAUUCUGUAUAAAUAAACACUAGGCAUUUAAGUUUUUAAGGCAUGCACUAUCUAAGAUUUUAAUAAAAAUCAUUAUUUGUUAUUGAUUACCGAAUUACCUCCAUUGAUGAUUGUCAACGAAAAUGUGUUCUUGUUGUUGGCAACCUCUGACAGUUCUUUUGUAUGACAUGCGAAAUUUUUUCUUUUUAUAUUUUUUAUUUUAUAAACUGUCGACGAUUAAGUUCAAAUAUCAAUUUUUUAUAUUAUAAUAUUACUAGGAAAUAAGAUAUUCUUUAAAUUUAUUAUUCGUGAUGGAAUUUCCAUUAGUAUUUUAUUUUUUUACUCCUUUAGUAUUUAAAAGGAGUGGGAUAAUGACUUGAUUCUAUGCCAAAGUUAUGAAAAGAUUUGUAAAAGGCCUACAAUAGACAAGGCGAGAUCAAACAUUCCAUUCUAGAGCAAUCAUUUGAUUUGAAAACAUGGAGCGCGGCAAAGCCAAGAUCCAAACACAGCUUAACCUCUUGGAUUUCUUAUUUAUUUAUUUGAUAUGUAUAUUUUUUUUUAGUACUAGUCAACGCCGAACGUACGUUGCAUGUUAUUAUGAAAUGUUUUAUAAAUGCUGUAAAAGUAAUAUUUGAAUAUGCGUGAAUGUUAAUUAAUUUAGAAUUUAUACUAAGGAAUAUAUAAUGACAAUGAUCAUUAAAUUAUCUAUUUAAUUUUCAUUAAGUAAAAUUGAAUGUUAAUUAUCAUACAUAAAUGUGAAUAGUAAAAUGCAUUCUUAAAUGUAAAAAUCUAAUUAACUUAUAAUUAGAGUUAAUAACAUUGAAAUGCAUAAAUGAAAAUGAAUAUUAAUUAAAUGAGUUUGAAUGUUAAUGAAUUUAGAAUUAAUAAUAAAGAAUUCAUAUAUCAACGAGAGAAUAUAAGUGAAAUGAAUUUGUCAAAUGUACAUGUACAUUUAUGGUAACUAAUGGUUUAAAUAAAUUAAAUGCAACUUGAAAUACGAAAACUAAUGUAUUAUUAAAAUAAUGGAAUUAUAGCAAAGCUAAAAUAGUUCUAAAAUUGAUUCUUACUUGAUGUGAUAUUUAAUUUCAAUUAAGUAAAAGUUGGAUAUUAAUUAACAUUUAUGAACGUGGAUAAUGAAAUGAAUUCUUGAAUGUGAAAUUCUAAUUAACUUAUAAUUAAAAAUAAUAACACUGAAAUGCGUAAAUGAAAAUGAAUAAUAAUUUAAUGAAUGUGAAUGUUAAUGUUAAUUAUUGAAAAUUAAUAAUAAGGAAUUCAUACAUUAAUGAAAGUAGACAUGUGAAAUAAAUCUGUCAAAUAUACAUGUACAUUGAUGAUAACUAAAUGAUUAAAUAAAUUAAAUAUAUAUUGAAAGAUGAAAAGUAUAAUAUUAUUGAAAUAAUUGAAUUAUAGUAGUGUUAGAAUCAUCCAAAAAAAUGAUUCUCACUUAAUACGAUAUUUAGAAUAUAAUAGUUAAUGGAACAAAUAAUGAUUGAUGGAAAAUUUAUCUUUGAUCAUCGACAAUUUAUGGUCAACGAUUAUGAUGGAAAUUAAAAUAUAUCUAAAAUUUGAACAUAGUUACCAACAACGAUAUUAAUGAAUAUUUGUCAUCGAUUAUCAAAAAUAAUAUUGUACACUUGUUGACAAUAUUUCGUUUACAAAUCGUGUACACGGAGUCGUUGGUAUUGACAAAGAUUUAUAUUUUAUUUUUUAUAAGUUACCAACAAAUAGAUUGAAAUAUCAUUUUAUUUUUUCUUAGUGUAUUAUUUAUUGGUCACAAAUUACUCAUUUUAUUGAUCACUAUCAUUCAAAUAAUUGUUCACAAUAGCUCUUCAGCUACCCCACCACCACGUAGAUCUAUACAUCCAUUAUACCACUACAAUCAAAUAUGACAUUGCAACCCACCACUACAAGGUCACUAGCACACCACAACAUCAACCGCACCACCACGACAGUGGAAAACCCAUCACCACUAAGUAUCUUUGUAGCUACGACGACUAGAUUCUCCCUCGUUAUCCUGAUGGCAAACUCAGUUACCACGGCAGUGAAACUUGUGUCCUUUCCAGGAAACUCACUACCAUUAAUGCUGCAAUUUCUAUUUUUGAAGAGAGAUGGGUUUCCACAAAAAAGAAUGACAAAGAAGCGAAAGAAGAUAUUUGCUGACGAUUGGUAGGGCAUUGUGUUCGAGUACAAAUGAGUGUGUAUAACAUGUUUUUAAGCCUUUGUUUUGGCUCUAUUUUAAUGAGGUUUUGGGACAAAUGUAUUUUAGGAUAAUAAUAUUUUGAAGAAUGUAUAGUAAAAUAUCAAAAAAAAAAAAUUGGUUUACAUGCAAUAUUAUUUUAUUGAAAAAUGUGUUGUUGAAAAUAGAGAAAGAGAAGAAUGCAUUAAAUUAAAAUUUAGCCGAAACAAGGGCUAAAUUAAAAAAGUCAUAACUUGAUUUUUUUAAUCAAAAAAUUAGUAUAUGAUUUUUGAAAUUGAAAAUUAAAAUGUAAGGUUUAAUAUAAUUUUCUCAUUAUUAAAUGAGAAUAUUAUCUUUUGAUGUUUGCAAAAAAUAAAAUAAAAAUUAGUUGCACCAUAAGGAGUAAACUUAAUGGGGGAAGAAUCGAUUUAAAUAGUUAAACAAUGAUUAUACUUACAAAAUAUCGAGCUUUAUUUUUAAAAAAUUGUGAUUGACAUACACAAAUUUAUUCCCAAUAAAUUCAAAAUAAACACUCAAUAGUUUAAUGAUUUAAAUUUUCCCUAUUUAAAUUCUGAAUAAAAAUUCAAAUAUGAUUUACCAAUAGAAGAAUGAAGAAGAAACAAUCCAAUCUUUAAUGAUAGAUUUUUGCCACAUGUAAUCCCUCCGGAAUACUGUGAAUAAAAUAUCGUCAAACUAAUAAGCACCCACACCACCCUUUAUUGUUUUUAUUAUUUGGAGGGAUUAUGUGAACCCCUCCCCGUACUUGUAGUCUCUCUCUUAAUGAUAUUUGUCUUAUAUGAAUGACCAAAUCCAUGUCAAUGAUGAUUCUUUCACAGUUAUUUUAAAAUAUCAAUAGGUGAAGAAAAAUUAAAGUGGAAAUUAAUUAAAAAAAAAAGCAUUUUCCCAAUAAUAAAUAUUUGAAAUUUUGUUAAAACAUUGAAUGGCCAACACAAUAGAUCUUAGGCUCUACAAAGACAUGCUUAGUGGGUUGUAUCUUAGCCCUCGUUCCAUAUCAUUAAAUAGAUUUUGAUAAAAUUUGAUGAAAUAUAUAGUUAAAAAAUUGAUAGUUUCAUAAAAUAUGUGGUUAAAAUUAAUUGUUGAUUUUUUAUUAGAUUAAAAUUUUACCAACCAAGGGUUCAGUGUCUGACCGAAUCUAGAACUCAUCAAUUGGGUUGAAAUAGUGCACGUAGCAGCGCUUGGACCUCAUUUUUCAUGAGUGCAACAAGGAUUUAGGUUCUAAGAUGGCUCGAAAGUGACAUUAGGUACGAUACUGUUGGGCCACUUAAAAUAGAAGAAACCAAUGAUUGUGACCCAAUAAGGCUGACCCAAUUGCAUUACUUACUUGUUGCCUGAUUUCAAAAUGCGACUUUAGUUCUGUUGAAAAUUGUUGAGAUGAUGACUAGUAACUACACUGGUGAGUCGGUGAUCGUUGAUGACUAGGAUUAAUUGCUUUAUAUUUGAAGCCCCUGUUUGACGACCAAACUAUGGAAAACAAUGUUUUGAAUGAUACUUUUUAGGAGAAUGCGUGGUUAAAAAGUAGAAAUUUUUUUGGAUUUACGUGCAUAAUAUUUUAUUAUAUAAUUGUACAGUCGAAAAUAAGUAUGUAGAAAAAAAUUUUGAAAAUAAUUGUUGUCAGAUAUGGGCUAAAUAUUGUUAUCUCUCAUUUGAGAGAUUACUUUAGGGUUUGUGUUGUUUUUCUCUCUAGUGUGUGUGUUUAUUUAUUAUUUAUUUUUUUUUUGGUUUUUUGUCUUCUUUCUAAAUUUCUCCUUUCUGUUUAAGGUCGAUGUAAAUAGAUAAUAUGUGAGUUUAUAUACUGUUCUAGGUGAACAGUAGUCUCUGAUUACUUGGAAAUUGAGAGAGAAAUCUGCAUCAGAGAGCUUCUUGAUUUUGAUACUUGGUGUAUUAUGUUGUAAUAUCGAACAUUUUGGUUAUGCUAGUGGAUUUAGAGCAUUAAAUACAUUUGUGGAUGAUCAAUGUGCUGAGUAGACCUUUAGGCUGAACAUUUGAGCCCUUGUGAUGAAAAAUCUUGGUGUUUUCGUUUUACUUUGUUAUAUUUUAUGUUUUUGGUCAUUUAUGGGACCAACAAUGGUAUCUAAGCCUUUGAUCUGAAGUAGAACUACUUUGAACCUUCUUUACUUGACUUUCUAUGGUUUUAAAACUCUAGAUUUGUAUAGAUUUAGAAAUUUCAAGGGUGAAAUCUGGUUUUUUUGGAGAUUGACAAUGGGUUCUUGUAAUAUUUUAUUUUUAUCUUGCAUAUUAUUUGAACUUCCGAUAACAUACUCUAACCCUACUUUUAAAUUAUUUUUUUGGUUCAAUCACUAUAUUCUUGGAUCUCUUGACAUUAACUGUCUUAGAGCUUCUUUUGUACAUGUUUUUAUGCGAGAACGUUAGAAUUUGAAAGGACUACAACCAAGUUUUAUCAAUCAUUUAAUCUUUGCAAUUUGUAGUUAAAUUGUCCAUUAAAUUGAUAUGUUAGUGUUUGUAUAAUUGUGAGGGUAUACCGUAUGUUAAAAUUGUAAGUUUUGUGAAUGUUGAGUUUUGAUACUCAAUAAUCAGGGUGAUGAUGUUAAACCGAUAUUGGAUAAAAGUAAAUAUUGACACCCAAGAUUGAUGACCCGGCCCUAAGACUAUUUUGGCCAUUGGAAACAACCUAAUUAAUUAGUGUUGCUCAUGGCCCGAUUUUAUACUCAUUGGUUGGCUUAUAUAUGUUAGCCCACUUACCUUUUUUGUAUUGGGCUUGGCCCCAUCACUUAACCUAACAUAACCCAUAUAUGCUAGACUUCUUGGUCUUCCAUUAUUAACAUGUGUUUUUGAGAGAAAAGUUCCUGCCUUUUGCUUUGUGCUCUUGCUUGGCCAAUUUCUUCUUGUUCUUCUCUAGCCUUUGUGGUACCACCUUUGUGGCUGAAAACACCGUCUCUUUUUGUCCUAAGUGGGUACAAAUCUUGAGCAACCGGAGUGUGGAAGAAGUUUAAGGUUUUGGAUUGUGAUUGCUUGGAUGUGUUGAUAAGGUUGAGAUUGGUAUCUUGAGUCCAAAAUUUCACCAAUUGGAGGUCGAUUAUUUAAUAUUUGGUAUCAAAGCGAGGUUGGGGUGGAAUUUCUGACCAAAAUCUGACCAGAAUCAAAGCAGAAAUCAGUCAGAUUAAACUGUCGAGAAAUUUUCACAAAAAAUCGAACUUGCAACCCAAUUUUCGGCCAAUCCAGGUGUCUUUUGGUAAAACGGAGGUCGGAUUCGUGAUUUGUAGGUGGAGGUGGUGCUGGGUGGCCGGCGCAUUUGGGUGACGUGUCAACGACAGAGGUGUAUAGAGAUUUCGACGACUGCACGUUGGGGAGCGUGCGGGCUCCUUCCACGACGACUUCUUCAGGCAGAAUUUUUCUAACAUGUUUUCUAAUGAUUUUGUAUUGUUAGUUUUCAGUUUCAGGAUACACAAAAAAGUUGGACAUUUUUGCCCCUGGACAUUGGCAAUUGGUUGCUAGAUAUUCGUGUUAGCACACCCGCUGAACUUUAGGGCGAAUUGUGGUGGUCCUAAAGCAGUAGAUUCGUAUCUAUCGUAAUUUACGUACUCAGAUAGGUCCGCUCUAGUAAAUUGGUUGAAACCUUUACAUUAUCACAUUAGUAGAUCAUCAUGUGCGGUGAUCAUAAGGAUUGGGGGUCGUCAUUGCUUGUACUAGAAAAUUUAGGAAUUAUCUGUCCUAUUUGAAGUGUUGAAGUUGAUUGUAGUUGGUAAUUGAUUUUGAGCUCUAAUUGUCAUAUAGUCACUGCGUGAGAUUGCAUUGUGUGAUAAUUAGAAUUUUUUUAAUAUACAUGUUGCAUUGAUUAUCCUGUUAGAAUAUCUAGACUUGACCCGUUUGAAAAUUCCAUUGAUCUAAGAUCGCGAAUCUUACGAAACCCUGAGAAUCUAGAACAAUGUAUAUUGCGGUCAUAGGAUUACUUUGUGUGACAUAUUUGUGCAUUUAGUUGCUCUAUUUUCCCUUUCACAUUUUGAAGUUGGUGUUUUCAAUGGGCAAGAGAAAUUCUCAAUUUGGCAACAAAAGAUAAAAGAAAUUUUAGUUCAACAAAAAGUUUCAAAGGCCAUAAAUGGCAAAUUUCCUGCAAUUUGACAGAAAUGCAAAAAGAGGAAUACGAUGAACUUGCUUACACUUCGAUUAUCUUACAUUUAUCUGACACAAUUUUGAGAAAAGUUGGGGGAAUUGGAUUCUACAAAAGAACUUUGAAAAAAGUUAGAGGACUUAUAUUUACUUAAGUCCACUCCUAAUAAAUUAUACUUACUUGAAAGAUUUUUCAGUUUUAAAAUGAAUCCUUCAAAGGAUCUUAACGACAAUCUGGAUACAUUUAACAAACUUGUUCAAGAUAUUGUUAACUGUGAUGAAAAGGUGUCUGAAACAUAUAAAGCAAUUAUCUUACUUAAUUCUAUGCCUGAUUCAUAUAGAGAGGUUAAGAAUGCAAUUAAGUACGGUAGGGACACCAUAACACCCGAGAUUGUCAUAGACUCAUUUAGAAGUAAGGAAAUUGAAAUCAAGGCUAAAAAUGAAGAUAAGAGGAGCGGUGAGUUACACAUGAUAAAGAGUAGGAUGAAAUUUAAGCAAUGAAUUUGGGUAGAGCUCAAAAUAGUAUUGAUUCGAGUAAUGACUCGAGUGAUGAAGGUAGUAAGAAGAAGGGCAAGGAAUGGGACAAGUCUAGUGCUAAACGGUGUUACAAUUGUGGUAAGUUUGGACAUUUUAUUAGGGAUUAUCCUAAGAAGAAGGAUAAACAGAAGGGUAAUGUGAGAGGUGAGAUGAAUGUGGUUAAGGGGUUGAGUUAUGACCCUAAUGAGGUUUAUUGAGAGCAAAUCUAGUUACUUCAUGUGCAUCUGUGUGUGAUCCUUUUUUUUACAUAUGUGUGAUUGUCUAAUUCUAUUGCAUGAUUAUAUGUUGCAUUUCAAUUUGUUUGAUAUGUGUGUUUGCAUGAAUUUGAGGUAAUGUGAUUAAUUUAUGUGAUUGUGUGCAUGCAUAGUGGGUUAGGAUACAUUAGCAGCAAGUUAGAUGUCUUUUGAUAAGGUAAAGUAAAGAUGCCUAGGGGUAUAUUGUAAUUUGUACCGGGGAUGUGGAGUGUGACAUUUGGAUCACGAGUGGAAAUGUGAUCAAAUGUUUAGAAUCUUUUAUCCGUGAAAGAGACCCUGUACAAGUGGAGUGUGAGAGAGGCACUUCUAUCACUUCGGUAAGGUGGAGAUCCAUUAUUCACAUAGGUUGGGAAAAAUGACGUGGUGAUAGAAGAUUAUCCCAAGAGCUUAGAAUCUAUUGUGACUUGUCAGUUAGACAUGAGUUGAAUAAUUAUCUAGUGAGCAUGGUGGGCGAUGAGAAGAGAUAUGUAUUCUCGAAGUGGGAGUAACGCGAAAUGAAAUAGGAUGAGUGUAGUGAAAUUUUUCAUGGGGUAAUUUAUGUAUUUGUUGCACAUGUGUUGAUUAACUUGUUGUUAAUCUAUAGUUCUGUGUGAACACAAUUUUGAAAAGAUCUAUGUAUUAUCCUAUAUAAUAUUUUCAUUGCAUGAUUAUUUGUUCACUGUAAAUACUUGUUCCUACUUGGGUGUUUCUUUGGACCUUAACCAUGGUAAGUACAUGAGCAGUUAUGGUAUGUGUUCCAGGUUCGAAACACGAGGAAAGGUCUGUGAUACCAAUUUUAUUGGAUUACCUUGAUUGUGCAAGAAUAAACUUUGUGUUUUGUUUGCUUGCAGAUUAUUGGGCAUCAAGGUAAAGAUUGCUGGAUUUUGAUACCCAAUAAUUUGGGCGAUGAUGUUAAACCGAUGUUGGAUAAAAAUAAAUAUCGACACCUAAGAUUGAUGACUCGACCCUAAGACUAUUUUGGCCAUUGGAAGCAACCUAAUUAAUUAGUGUUGCUCAUGGCUCGAUUUCACACUCAUUGGAUGGCUUAUAUAUGUUGGCCCAAUUAGCGUUUUUGUAUUGGGCUUGACCCCUUCACUUAACCUAACCUAACCUAUAUAUGCUAGCCUUCUUGGUCUUCUAUUAUUAACGUGUGUUUUUGAGAGAAAAGUUCCUACCUCUUGCUUUAUGCUCUUGCUUGGCCGGUUUCUUCUUGUUUUUCUCUAGCCUUUGGGGUAUCAUCUUUGUGGCUAAAAACACCAUCCCUUUGUGUCCUAAGUGUGUACAAAUCUUGAGCAACUGGAGUGCAGAAGAAGUUUAUGGUUUUGGGUCGUGAUUGUUUGUGUGUAUUAAUAAGGUUGAGAUUGGUAUUUUGAGUUGAAAUUUCCACAAAUUGGAGGUCGAUUAUUCAACAGUAAAUAUUUUGAUGUUUAACCCUUUCUUUAAAAUUUAUUUGACACAUUUUGAGUGAUUACAUAUCUCAUAAAGGUGUACCCGUUUAAACCAUUGAAACUCUUUCCGUUGAAAAUUGGGCUGCCUUAAAUUUCUUUGGACCGUGUUUUGGCAAAAUAAGUCAGGCCCAAACCUAUUUUAUAAAAACAUGUUUUGAGAAAAAAAGGUCUUUUGCUUCCUAUGAGGGCUGGGCUGUGCCGUACACGUGGCACAACCCCAACCCUUGGAUCAAAUUAUUUACUUGAACGGAUACUACCUUGGUCUUUUAGUCUUCUGGAGUUGGACGGUUUUGAGUUACUAUCUAGAAUUUUCUCGUGUACUCUCUUUCUCUCUCUAUGUGAGGGUUUCUUCUUCUUCGUGUUUUCAUUCUCUUUGAAAAUCUGAAAUUCUUUGUGUUAUAAUCUUUCAUUCUGCAAAAGAAAGGUUGAGUGAUCUGUGUGAUCUUGUUUGAGAGAAAAGUUGUGUGAAAAGAGGCGAGAUAAGAUGAAGAAAUCUCUGAUUUCUUUGAACAUUUGUACGAUUUCUUUCUGAUACUUAUUGGAAUCUUGAGCAUACUCUUGACUGAGACUCAACGGGUGAUUAGGUUCUUUCAACUGAACAUCCGGGCUCCUUUUGGAGCAAAAACAUAUUUGCUGUUAUUUUUACUUUUUGUGAUUUACAUUUCUGUAAUGUUUCUAAAAUUACGAAAUAAUAAUGUUUGGGACCAACACUUUCUUUGUGAAAAAUUGGUUUUCAAGAAACUAUCCAUUCUAAAAGGUUUUAAAAAGAGAAGAAAAUUAGUUUUAUCUUUGGUUUUCCUAUAUAUUGCCAACAUUUUUUUUUUCCAAAAGAAAAAUGGGAAGCACCAAGUUAGAUGUUGAGAUUUGGAUUAGCAAAGACGAUUUUAGUCUCUGAAGUCAGAAAAUGAGAGCUCUAUUUUACAAAAAUAUGUGUUGAAAGUCUUGGAUGAAUCUUGGAUCGAUGAUUUUGAUUCAAUCAAGAAUAUUGAUCAUAUUGAAAUUUCAAGGAGUAUUUUGUUUCUGCAUUAUCUUAUAGAGUGACAAGAGAAGUUUAUAUAUACAACAAAAAAUGUAGCACAAUAGUGGAAAAAAUCAAAAUGUCUUCACCAAAGUAAAAUACUACCAAAUAAAUCUUAUUUGUGGAAGGAAAAUUCCUCAAGUAUGGAGGAUUUUUUCAUAGAUAGCAGUAUGAAAAAAUCAAGUACUUAUAGCAUGUUUCUUUGUGGAAACAGUUUUUAAUAAGUUUCAAAUCUGAUUCCAAUAUAGAUCUUGAAGCAAACAUGGACAGAUUUAAUAAGCUAUCCUUGAAUCUAACUAAUAGUUGUGAAGCUAAAUCUAGUGAUCAACAAUCUGUAGUUUUAUAUAGUACUUUUGUUUGAAAAAUACAAGGAUACGAAAAAUGCUUUAAAAUAUGCUAAAAAAAGUAUGACUGUUGAUAUAAUUGUUUUUUCAUUGAGAAAUAAAGAUUGUAAGUUAAAAAAUGAAAUCAAAGAUUCCUCAACUAAAAUUAGUUCAAUGGUUAAAGGAAAGAACUUUCAAAAGGAAACAAUAAUAAUAAAUUCGAUAAAGAAAACACUGGCGAAGGCAAAUAUUUUAUUAUUAUUUUUUCUUUUGAAAAAAAAAUUGUAUAGUGAAAAAAUAAAAAAAAAAAAAAUUAAGGCUAAAGGUAAAAGUUGUCAUUUUUGUGAAAAAUUAGGAUUCUUUAUAAAAAUAUUGUUUCAAGAAGAUAGAUGAAAUGAAAAACACUCAAAAGACUAAGAAUGUAGUUGCAAUAGCUUAUGAAGAGGCUGCAACUACAAAUGAAAAAGUCUAUAUGACUAGCCAUUUAAUGGUUAAAGAUGAGUGAAUUCUUGACAUAGGGCAUGCACUUGAUAUGUCUUUUUAUAAAGAAUGUUUUCCUGAAUUUUUGAAAAUUAAUGGCGGUCGAUUAACUAUGGAAAUUUAUUUUUCUUGCAAAAUAAAAGGAAUUGAAAAAAUGGUUUUAAAUUUUGGAAAUGAUCCUACUCUAAUUCUUGAAAAAAUCAAAUAUAUACCAGAUUUAAAGAGAAAUAUAGUUUCUCUUGAAAUUCUUAUUGAUGAAUGUUACAAAAUAAUCAUAAAAAUUUGAAUUAUUACUAUUCUUAUUAAUUUUGCUGAAAUAAUUAAUACACCAAAGACCAAUGUAAUUUAUGUUUUAAGGGUUGAUAUAUAUAUAUAUAUAUAUAUAUUUGGUGAAAAUAUCAUUUUUGUGAAUAAUGCAUUUUGGAAAAAUAAAAAACAAUUGUCUUUCUCUAUCGGAAUUCAUAAAUUCGUGUUGUUAGUGGAUUACUUGCAUGUUGAUAUGUGGGAACCAACUAUUGUGUGCAUAUAUUCAGGUUUUAAAUAUUUCUUCAUAAUAAUUGAUGAUAUCUCUAGAAAGAAUUGGGUUAUCUGACUAAAGAAUUAGUUCGAUGCUUGAAUUUAAAAAUUCGAGACCUCCCAUUCAAAAUCAGGUUAAUAAGAACUUAAAGACUCUUAUAAUAGCAUUGGAUUCUGCAAUGAAGAAUUUGAUAAUUUCUAUAAAAAAAAAAAAAAAGGGAGAGAGAGAGAUUCUUAAGCACAAAACUGUUACAUAUACUCAACAAAAUUCUUUAGCAAAAUAAAUAAAUAAACAAACAGGACUUUAUUAGAAAAUGUUAGAUGCAUGUUAGUCAAUUCAUGGUUCAAAAUUAUUUUGUAGACAGAAGUUGUUAAGACUGCAUCAUACUUAAUUAAUAAUUGCUCUAGUAAAUCACUAGAGUACAAAAAACUUGGAUCAAAUAUGCAAUGAUCAUCUUGUUGAUCAAAUAUUUAAUGUAUUGUUUAUGCACAUUAGAAUGAAGGGAAAUUAGAAUUAAAAGUUAUUAAAGGCACAUUCUUGGACUAUGGGAAAGGGGUAAAGGGCUACAGGCCGUAGCUUAAAAAUAAGAAAGACUAUAGAGUCAUAAUAAGCAUAAAUGUAACUUUUAAUGAGAGUGAGAUGCUUUGUUUAAACUUUAAAGGAGAAAAUUCUAUAAGUAAGUAAUGAUGGUCCGGUUAAAAAUUGAGAUAGUUGAUCUCAUUUUUUUAGAUUUAAAUCAAACAAAUGAUGAUCAAAUUGAGGAAGAACAAACUUAAAUGGAAGAAAAUGCCCUGAAAUUGAACACUCAGAAUCUUGAUUCUGAAUUGGCUAGGGAUAAAGCCAAGAGAGAAACAAGAACAUUAACCAGAUUUGGUGAAGCGAAUUUGACUUCUGUGUUGAGACCGAUGACCAAUAAUGCAGGAAUCGAGAUUUAAUGAAUACAACUUGUUGUAAUUGAAGUAAUUAACAAGAUCACGAGAAACCACGAACAAGAUUAAGAAAUAAAAGAACUGGCAGAGGAACGAUAUUAUUUUAUUCAAUCAAUGAAAUGAGAGAAUUACAACAAUAAUGGCUUAAACAAUACUGAAAGAGAAACUCUGUAUUUAUAGUAUAAAAUCUAGCCAUAAAAGAGUCCCAAAAAAGGUAUCUAAUGCAAUUUAGACUCCUAUUUGAAUCACACUUCUAACAAUCUCCACCUUGACUCAAAUUCCAGUGCAACGAACGAAGCUCCAAAAUUUCUCCACCUUGAGAAAUAAUCCUUCUACAUCAGAAUGAACUGACCAAUCUCCUCAAUGCAAUGACCAAACUCUCCACGAUAACACGUUCCCCCGCCCGGCGUCCAUAAGCGACACCCGAACCCAAACCCGGGUUCCCAAAAUUCCUCUUGGAAUUAACAAUCACUGGACAGGGUCGAAGCACACCCUGUAGCAGAAAUCACACCAAAUGCACAAUCAGAAGGUCCCUGGCCAAUAGUGUCACCUUCAAUGAUUUCUAAAGCAUUAUAGAUAUCUCCAAAACUGUACUUACGCUCCAUGAGUACAUUGGCAUUACAAGAACAUAGUGUACCCGCUAAAAUUGGUGACAAAGCGGAAUCACCAACACUCCCUUGAGCAAAGUUCUUAAUCGACCCAAAGCCAAACCCGAGAGAUACUGUACCAAAUUGAAUGCCCACCACGGUACUGAACUUGUCCAAAUGUCUCUGAACUUGUUCUGCACUCCCCUACAAGAUGUACAACUGGGAUUUCCUCCGUUCCUUCAGUACAACCCGAAAACCCCUUCGAACCUUCAAGACUCCACCUCCACCAGAAAAUUUGUACACUUUUUCAUUCAAGGUACUCAGUGAUAUGAGAUUCUUUGUCAAGUCUGGAACAUGGCGAACCUGAUCAAGUGUCCUCACUGUUCCAUCCUGUAGCCUCAAUCUGACGCGACUGAUUCUUGCAACCCGGCAAGAUUGAUUGUUUCCCAUGACAACUCCACCUUGCUUCACCGUCUCAUAUGUUUGAAACAAAGCCUUAUUGGGACACAUAUGAUACGAAUAAGCAGAAUCCAGAAUCCACUCCUUAGGUUUGGAUUCUCCAUCAGAUACAGCCAACAUCACAUCUCCAUCAUCACAAAUUUUUUUAGCAAUAUUAGUCUCGUUCGAAUUACUUGAUUGCCCCGCAUGAUUUGCAUGUAAAUCACUUUUACCUUGCAACUUGUCGCAAUCUUUCUUGAUGUGUCCUUUCCUCUUGCAAUAAUAACAAUACACAUUGCUGUACUUCACCUUCGAUCUACCCCUCCGUCGAUCACCAUGAGUAACAAGAGCAUCCCCACUCCUAAAUACAGGAUCUCCAACCAACAACUCCAUCUUCUCUUUUGAGAACAGGGCGUCGUAUACCUCCUCAAUGGAUAAUGUGUCACGACUAUACAGAAUAGUAUCACGAAAUGACGAAAAAGAAUUGGGUAGCGAACACAACAGGACUAAGGCUAGAUCCUCUUCAUCAUAUUUUACCUCCAACGUCUCCAAAUCUGCAACGAUUUCCUUGAAGACAGCAAGGUGGUCUUGCAGUGACCCUCCUUUCGCCAUGCGAUGAGAAUACGACCUCUGCUUUAGAGUUAGUUUGCUCGUCAAACUCUUUGUCAUGCACAACUGCUCCAACUUGAGCCACAAAGCAGCCGAUGUCUUCUCCUUUAAAACAUCUUGCAGCAAAUUGUUGGAUAAAUGAAGUUGGAUUUGCGCUAAAGCCUUCCGAUCCUUUCGUUGUUUCUCCUUCAUAGACAAGUUUGCUUGCAUCCUAUCAAAACCCAGCAAAGCAUCAUCAAAAUUCAUCUGCGUCAACACAACUCUCACCUUUACUUGUCACAACGAAAAUCUUGUAUUGCGAUUCAAUAGCGGAAUUUCAUAUUUCAACGAAUUCAUCUCUAAAAAAUCUCAAUCAAAAUAGGAAGAACUUGCAACCUGCAACACCCAAAACUGAAAACUACCGAACGUGCAAGGGGCAAAAUAGUCCAGAACCACAAUUUUGCCCAAAACUGAAAUUGGACACCACCAUAAGGUCCGUCUCGUCGUCCGAAAAAAACUGCCUGAAGACACCGUCGUCGAAAAACGUCUCACGCGCCGCCACUCGCCCGUUGGAGUUACCACCGUCGGCAACUUGCUGGAAAACGCAUCGACGACCUGUGACCCUUUCUGGACCCUUUCUGCUUGCUGAGUCCACUGGUGGUGUUUGUUUCUCCAAAUUCUUUCUAGUUUGACCAGAAAACGCAAAAAUAGAUUUGGUAGAAAAUCGAAAAAUUGGACAGAUUCGUUUUCUGAUUUUCUGGUAAUUUUCAGACGAUUUUCCGAUCGGUUUCAGGCCAAAAAUCCACCAACAAUCCCGCUCUGAUACCACUUGUUGAGACCGAUGACCAAUAAUGCAGGAAUCGAGAUUUAAUGAAUACAAGUUGUUGUAAUUAAAGUAAUUAAAAAGAUCACGAAAAAUCACGAAUAAGAUUAAAGUAAAGAAAUAAAAGAACUGGCAGAGGAACGAUGUUAUUUUAUUCAUCAAUGAAAUGAGAGAAUUACAACAAUAAUGGCUUAAACAAUAUUGAAAGAAGAGCCUUAUAUUUAUAGUAUAAAAUCUAGCCCUAAAAGAGUCCCAAGAAAGGUAAGAAAUCUAAUACAAUUUAGACUCCUAUUUAAGUUAUACUUCUAACAUUCUGCAUAUAAUGUAUAGAACUUUCUUGAAUCUGAGCCUAAUUAAUAUGAAGAGGUCGUAAGCGGAAAAGAUGCAAACCUCUGGCUUGCAACUAUGAAGAAUGAAAUGCAUUUCUUAUUAAAAAAAUAAAAUCUGGACCUUAGUCAAUAAACCAAAUGGAACAAAAAUGAUAGGUUGUAUGUGGAUUUAUAAAAUCAAAUAGGGUGAAUUCAAAAGCAAUAGUCUGAGUAUAAGACUAGGUUGGUUGUUAAGGUUUCACUCAAAAGCGAGGAUAUAGACUAUAAUAAAAUAUAAAAAGAAGGUGACUCCUCCUACUUUGUGAGCGUUGGUCAAGCUAUUUAUCAAUCAUUUUUCUGUCAUUGUAUCUUCCAUUUUAAAAUUACUUGUGGUAUAAGGCUAUAAGAAAACAUUAUCUACUUCAACUUCCAAACUGAUUUUCUUAUAGAGAUAUUAACAAAUGGAGUCCUUCUGGUUUAUCUUCAUAGUCUCCCUAUUAUGCAUCCUUCCGCUUCUCAAAUCGCUAUUUUCUUCAAUCGCCGGUGCCCGCAAGAAGAACCUUCCGCCAGGACCCAUUUCGGUACCGUUGAUCGGAAACUUGGUAUGGCUGCGCAGGUCUCUUUCUGAGCUGGAAUUCAUCCUCCGCGAGUUCAAGACCAAGUACGGCCCCUUCAUCACCAUCAGAAUUGGCCCUCGUAUCAGGUUAAUAUUUAUCGGCAGUCACUCCCUCGCUCACCGUGCUCUUGUCCAAAACGGUGCCGUCUUCUCCGACCGUCCAAGUGCCGCGCCGACGAGUAAGAUCGUGACGAGCAACCAGCGCACCAUCAGCUCCGCCGCCUAUGGCGCCACCUGGAGGAUCCUCCGCCGUAACUUAACGUAUGAGAUUUUACACCCCUCCCGUGUGAAGUCGUACUCCAUGUCCCGCGGGUGGGUGGCUGGUGGUCUUAUUCAGCGGCUUGUGGUGGCGCAGUCGUCGGAAUCGUUUGUGAGCA